rnacentral:misc_RNA from 1 species
UGUGGGAGCGGGCUUGCUCGCGAUGGCGGAGUGUCAGUUGAUAAUUGUUUGACUGAUACACCGCCAUCGCGAGCAAGCCCGCUCCCACA